GUCCAGUACUACUUACUACCCGGCAGCUGUUAAACCCCGAGUCAACUGUAAUCAUUUUACAGCACUUGCUCUUUUAUCAGUAUGUCAAAACGUUCAAGUACUGGAAGUAGCAGUGGUGCAAGUAGUGGUAAUCGUAGAGGUAAGGAACCGAAAGUAGUUGAACCAGAGUCAGAACCAGGAUGGUGGGAAACCUGUGACCCAGAAAAAUUCCGACAAGAAUUUAGGAUGAAUUGGUCCACAUUCGAUUACAUAUGUAGUGAGUUAGAUCCAUUUACAGUAACCAAGAAAAAAGUUACAACCAGUGAUUUUAACUUCAGACUUGCAGCUUCGUUUCAAUAUCUGAACUCUAGUGUGAAAGUUUGGCGCCGACUGUUUUCAGUUUCUUAAUCAGCACAAUGUGGUGCAGAAUUUGAAGACGGACAACGAUUUAAUUGGGAGGUGUCUGAUGCUACUCAUUAGAAUAUCAAAUCCUUUCUUGGGCCAAAAUGAACAUUCAGUUUUUUUAUCACCUUAAUAUGUGUGUAAUGUAGCUACUACUAGCCGUUCAGUUGCUUCUUUUUUCACCUUAGUUUGUUGUAGUGUGCUUCUUGUAAGUACAACUUUUAUGAUAAAGCAAUGAAUUAUCUGCACUGUUUGUUUCUAGCA